UACGAAGGGGGCUAGCGUUGUUCGGAAUUACUGGGCGUAAAGCGCACGUAGGCGGAUAUUUAAGUCAGGGGUGAAAUCCCAGAGCUCAACUCUGGAACUGCCUUUGAUACUGGGUAUCUCGAGUAUGGAAGAGGUGGGUGAAAUUCCGAGUGUAGAGGUGAAAUUCGUAGAUAUUCGGAGGAACACCAGUGGCGAAGGCGGCUCACUGGUCCAUUACUGACGCUGAGGUGCGAAAGCGUGGGGAGCAAACAGG
rnacentral:rRNA from 1 species